UGUUUCGACUCCGUCUUUACGACACAGGAAAUGAAGGUUAAUGCAUAAUUAAGUCUUCCAAGUUUAUAUUGCCCUUGUAGUUUACAUAAAAGCCUUUGACAUGUUAAACAAGAUUAUAUUGUGGAAAACGCAUGAAAGGCUUUCUACGACAUCUCAUACAAAUAAUCCAGUCUGUUUUAGAACAAACUUUAUCACUGAGAUUGGAGAUGGAAGAAAUAACAGAAAAGUUUUUAAUUAACCAACAGUGAGUGCCGGACCUUGACUAGAAAACAGCUACAACAAACUGAACCCAUGUCAAGGAUGCCAACUGUUCAUAUUCCUCAGAAGUCGUUUCAUUACCAUCCAAAAGGAAGAAGAGAACGAUACCAACUGUUGAAGUGAUGGAGAUGGCCUUGUAGAUUAUAUUAAAAAAAAUUAAAAGUAAAGCUGUCCCACUAUAUGUCAUAUAUGCACUGUUUUGUUUUUAUGAGAAUGCCAGAGAAUAUAAGUUAAUUUCAAGUCA